UCUAAUGUGGCAGAAUAGUGCAAUGGACUUAAACCCCAUAUAUAAAGAUUCCUUUCUUUAGAA
rnacentral:tRNA from 1 species